rnacentral:rRNA from 1 species
AGCUCCAAUAGCGUAUAUUAAAGUUGUUGCAGUUAAAAAGCUCGUAGUUGGAUUUCUGGUGGGAGGGAACCGUCCGAUCUCAGAUUGGUGCGUGUUCCUCUCCGGCCAUCCUUGAGUCUAACCUCCUUGGCAUUAAGUUGUCGAGGUGGGGAUACUCAUCGUUUACUGUGAAAAAAUUAGAGUGUUCAAAGCAGGCUUAUGCCGUUGAAUAUAUUAGCAUGGAAUAAUAAGAUAGGACCUCGGUACUAUUUUGUUGGUUUGCGCACCAAGGUAAUGAUCAAUAGGGACAGUUGGGGGUAUUCGUAUUCAGUAGUCAGAGGUGAAAUUCUUAGAUUUACUGAAGACGAACUACUGCGAAAGCAUUUACCAAGGAUGUUUUCA